UACGGAGGAUGCGAGCGUUAUCCGGAUUUAUUGGGUUUAAAGGGUGCGUAGGCGGGAUGCCAAGUCAGCGGUAAAAAUGCGGUGCUCAACGCCGUCGAGCCGCUGAAACUGGCGUUCUUGAGUGGGCGAGAAGUAUGCGGAGUGCGUGGUGUAGCGGUGAAAUGCAUAGAUAUCACGCAGAACUCCGAUUGCGAAGGCAGCAUACCGGCGCCCUACUGACGCUGAGGCACGAAAGCGUGGGUAUCGAACAGG
rnacentral:rRNA from 1 species